rnacentral:lncRNA from 1 species
CAUGAUUUCAUUAACAUUCAGAUCAACCAAUUGUAACACCCCAAUUAGGUCUAAAUUUAUUCAAUUGUGACUACUUUUAUACCAUUGACAACAGCGGCCAGGAACAACAGAAUGAGGUAAACUAGCACGCACGGUGCACAACAGGCCGGAUCAAAAUCAAAUAACCAUCUCAAAUUCAUCAAGCAUAGCACAGACAGGAUGUCAAAAUAUAACUACUCUUGAUAUGAUUCAAGACAAAUUCGGAGUAGCAGAUAUUGUUCCAUUAAUAUUCAGAUCGACCAGGCAAAAGUAGCACCACGGGGACAUCCUCUUACAAACCAACCACGACUACACACGAACCAUCAACAGUCCAACGAUUUCCAUCAAGCGCUACUACUAAUACUACUAUAUAUAUCUAGAUAGGCAGGCAGAUCCACGGCGGGGAUCAACAGCGGUCACCAGGAGGGGGGGCGGGCGAACCUAGGAGGAGGUGAACUUGGUGACGGCCUUGGUGCCCUCGGAGACGGCGUGCUUGGCGAGCUCCCCGGGGAGGACGAGGCGGACCGAGGUCUGGAUCUCGCGGGAGGUGAUGGUGGGCUUCUUGUUGUAGCGCGCGAGCUUGGCGGCCUCCCCGGCGAGCUUCUCGAAGAUGUCGUUGAUGAAGGAGUUCAUGAUGGACAUGGCC